rnacentral:piRNA from 1 species
UCUACAAAUCUCGAAAUAACAGC